UCCCUGGAGGACUAGUGGUUAGGCCACAGCGCUCUCACCUCUGCGGCCCAGGCUCGAUUCCCAGCAAGGGAA
rnacentral:tRNA from 1 species